CGCGCAGCGAGAGGUGCUUGCACCUUUCAAGCGAGUGGCGAACGGGUGAGUAACACGUGGAUAACCUGCCUCAAGGCUGGGGAUAACAUUUGGAAACAGAUGCUAAUACCGAAUAAAACUUAGUAUCGCAUGAUAUCAAGUUAAAAGGCGCUACGGCGUCACCUAGAGAUGGAUCCGCGGUGCAUUAGUUAGUUGGUGGGGUAAAGGCUUACCAAGACGAUGAUGCAUAGCCGAGUUGAGAGACUGAUCGGCCACAUUGGGACUGAGACACGGCCCAAACUCCUACGGGAGGCUGCAGUAGGGAAUCUUCCACAAUGGGCGCAAGCCUGAUGGAGCAACGCCGCGUGUGUGAUGAAGGCUUUCGGGUCGUAAAGCACUGUUGUAUGGGAAGAAAUGCUAAAAUAGGGAAUGAUUUUAGUUUGACGGUACCAUACCAGAAAGGGACGGCUAAAUACGUGCCAGCAGCCGCGGUAAUACGUAUGUCCCGAGCGUUAUCCGGAUUUAUUGGGCGUAAAGCGAGCGCAGACGGUUGAUUAAGUCUGAUGUGAAAGCCCGGAGCUCAACUCCGGAAUGGCAUUGGAAACUGGUUAACUUGAGUGUUGUAGAGGUAAGUGGAACUCCAUGUGUAGCGGUGGAAUGCGUAGAUAUAUGGAAGAACACCAGUGGCGAAGGCGGCUUACUGGACAACAACUGACGUUGAGGCUCGAAAGUGUGGGUAGCAAACAGGAUUAGAUACCCUGGUAGUCCACACCGUAAACGAUGAAUACUAGGUGUUAGGAGGUUUCCGCCUCUUAGUGCCGAAGCUAACGCAUUAAGUAUUCCGCCUGGGGAGUACGACCGCAAGGUUGAAACUCAAAGGAAUUGACGGGGACCCGCACAAGCGGUGGAGCAUGUGGUUUAAUUCGAAGCAACGCGAAGAACCUUACCAGGUCUUGACAUCCUUUGAAGCUUUUAGAGAUAGAAGUGUUCUCUUCGGAGACAAAGUGACAGGUGGUGCAUGGUCGUCGUCAGCUCGUGUCGUGAGAUGUUGGGUUAAGUCCCGCAACGAGCGCAACCCUUAUUGUUAGUUGCCAGCAUUCAGUUGGGCACUCUAGCGAGACUGCCGGUGACAAACCGGAGGAAGGCGGGGACGACGUCAGAUCAUCAUGCCCCUUAUGACCUGGGCUACACACGUGCUACAAUGGCGUAUACAACGAGUUGCCAACCUGCGAAGGUGAGCUAAUCUCUUAAAGUACGUCUCAGUUCGGACUGCAGUCUGCAACUCGACUGCACGAAGUCGGAAUCGCUAGUAAUCGCGGAUCAGCACGCCGCGGUGAAUACGUUCCCGGGUCUUGUACACACCGCCCGUCACACCAUGGGAGUUUGUAAUGCCCAAAGCCGGUGGCCUAACCUUCGGGAGGGAGCCGUCUAA
rnacentral:rRNA from 1 species